GAGAAAUCCCCUUACAGUCAACCUCCUGCAAACCAAACCACUAUAAUAAAGCGUCUGUGGGCAUAGUAACUUAUUCGACAGGUUAGAUAGGACAGAUUUUGUAUAACGCCAUACGUAUCGUAUUUCCAAAUUGUUUUCUUAGAAGCCACGACCACAGCUGAACCAACAACUGAAACGUCAACAACUGCGCCAACAACCACUAGAACACCCACCACAACACCUAGACUAACCACCAUUCCAACUUCAACAACAAAGUCAACCGAAGCAACAACUCCCGCACCAACGACUGGAGUCUCAACAACAGAAUGUGUCGAACGCACGGAGUGUCAUGUAAACCAGUCGAUCUCGUGUAAAGACCAAGAAUACAACCCAUCCGGCCCUGGUGAGCCCCCAUUCCCCACCGUAGAUUCGUGUGACCGUUUCUUUGCUCCGGAUUAUGGACAUCCGACAACAUGUGUUUGCCAACCUGGGUACUUGCGAGACAGUAACAGCUUUGAUGGCAGUGUCCUGAGUGUAUUGGGAUUUAGUUGGGAAACUGACAUGUGUGUGUGGCUGGAGUUUUGUCCCACACAGACGCCUGGGACGACGCCAGAAUGCUGGCCAGGGUCAGCACCCUUCACUGAUGGAUGUUCUAAAUGCGAGUGUAAGGAGAUUUCUGUCGGGGAUUCAGAAAAUGUUCGGAUUACAUAUGUGUGGAGCUGCACCGACAUCUGUACCACAGCAA